GAGGGUAUAGCUCAAGUGGUAGAGUGCAUGCUUAGCAUACAUGAGUUUCUGGGUUCAAUCCCCAGUGCCUCCU
rnacentral:tRNA from 1 species